AGGAGCAUAUGGAGUUCCAAGAAAUGACAUCAAGUUCUUUGCUCUAAUGCAAAAGGUAUCUUAUACUAUAAGAGGUCAAUCAUUCAGUCCAGCCGACAUUGAAUUUGUCAUUCUAAAGAUGAAACCUCCACCCCAUCGUCCACAAAUAGCUUUGGCUUUGGCUAUUCAUACCUUUAAAAUAUCAGAGGAGCACAGAAUAUACUCAAUUGACGCCCCCAGAGCCACUUUUAGUGUUUGCCCUCAGCUCCGGGAUGUUUUCCUCUCCACAGAGAGCACAUGAACAAUUAAAACUAUUCCCAAUUGUUUUUUGUAAGUCAUACUCUUUCUACUCUUUCCAAUUCUGGAGUUCACUUGCAUAAGAGGUUUAGCUGCUUUUUUUUAUACACUAAUGUGAAGAUUGCCUGCAAUGUGGUAGCCCCUCCAAGCUUGUCACACCAUCUCAUACUCUCGAAUAUCAUUGUCAUUUAUGUAAAUUAGGAUAAACCACAAAACAGUAAUCAAGUUUUGUGAAAUGACUAUUGCAGAGUGAGGCUGCUAGUGUGAUUUGGUUAUCUGAACACUAGAAAGCUAGCUUCCAGAGCCUAAAUAGAGAUAAAUGGUGAAAAGGAUUAGAGCAGAAACCCAUAAGUUUUUG